AGUGGCGAACGGGUGAGUAAUAUAUCGGAACGUGCCCAGUAAUGGGGAAUAACUAGCCGAAAGGUUAGCUAAUACCGCAUACGACCUACGGGUGAAAGCAGGGGAUCUUAGGACCUUGCGUUAUUGGAGCGGCCGAUAUCUGAUUAGCUUGUUGGUGGGGUAAAAGCCUACCAAGGCAACGAUCAGUAGCUGGUCUGAGAGGACGAUCAGCCACACUGGAACUGAGACACGGUCCAGACUCCUACGGGAGGCAGCAGUGGGGAAUUUUGGACAAUGGGGGAAACCCUGAUCCAGCCAUCCCGCGUGAGUGAAGAAGGCCUUCGGGUUGUAAAGCUCUUUCGAAAGUGAAGAAAACUUAUUUCGUAAUAUGUUAUAAGUAUGACGGUAACUUUAGAAGAAGCACCGGCUAACUACGUGCCAGCAGCCGCGGUAAUACGUAGGGUGCGAGCGUUAAUCGGAAUUACUGGGCGUAAAGCGUGCGCAGGCGGUUUUGUAAGUCAGAUGUGAAAUCCCCGAGCUUAACUUGGGAACUGCGUUUGAAACUACAAGACUAGAGUGUGUCAAAGGGGGGUAGAAUUCCACAUGUAGCAGAGAAAUGCGUAGAGAUGUGGAGGAAUACCAAUGGCGAAGGCAGCCCCCUGGGAUAACACAGACGCUCAUGCACGAAAGCGUGGGGAGCGAACAGGAUUAGAUACCCUGGUAGUCCACGCCCUAAACGAUGUCAACUAGUUGUUGGUGGAGUAAGAUCCAUGAGUAACGUAGCUAACGCGUGAAGUUGACCGCCUGGGGAGUAC
rnacentral:rRNA from 1 species